UUCAGGAAUCUGUGUGAAGUGCUACAAUGUUUUCAACAGUACCUACAAGGAGGUUAACCAGUCAUCAAGUGGCCAAUUUUCACAACAAAUUACAGGAGAAGAUGUGUCUACAUCAAGAUCAAAAGCAUCAGAGAAAGAGAGUACCAACAGCCAUCUACGUGCGAGUGUACUCAGAGAAGUGCAGAAUAGCCCUGAAUGUGAUGUAAGUACAACCUGGAGUAUAAAUGUAGUGUCACAUAUGCCUUG